GAUGAACGCUAGCUACAGGCUUAACACAUGCAAGUCGCGGGGCAGCAUGGGGGUUGCUUGCAAUCCCCGAUGGCGACCGGCGCACGGGUGAGUAACGCGUAUCCAACCUGCCCUUCACCACGGGAUAACCCGGCGAAAGUCGGACUAAUACCGUAUGGUGUCCAUUGACGGCAUCCGAUUUGGACGAAAGGUUUGGCGGUGAAGGAUGGGGAUGCGUCCGAUUAGCUGGACGGCGGGGUGACGGCCCACCGUGGCGACGAUCGGUAGGGGUGCUGAGAGGAAGGUCCCCCACACUGGAACUGAGACACGGUCCAGACGCCUACGGGAGGCAGCAGUGAGGAAUAUUGGUCAAUGGGCGUAAGCCUGAACCAGCCAAGUAGCGUGCAGGAUGACGGCCCUAUGGGUUGUAAACUGCUUUUAUGCGGGGAUAAAGUGGCCCACGUGUGGGUUUUUGCAGGUACCGCAUGAAUAAGGACCGGCUAAUUCCGU
rnacentral:rRNA from 1 species